GCCGAGCUCAGUAGCGUGAGCUUGUAACCCGAGUGGGGGCAUUAAGGUGGUGAGGAUGCUUAGAACUGGCUUCUGGGCUUGGGCCUGUGAUGUGCCUUUGCUGGCCUGCCCAUCCCAAGUUGGUAGUGCUUGGUGGGGCUCUAGUGAAGGCUUGGGCCUCCCUAAACCUAAAGUGGCAGGAAUGGCGUGAGGCUGGCUUCACAGAGCAGCGAUAACUGCCCGUUUCCAACGGUGGGAGGAUAACAGGCCGCUGCAUCAAGAGUCCAACUUAGUCCUAGAGCCUCUCUAUAGUAGACCAUCACUUUU
rnacentral:SRP_RNA from 2 species